rnacentral:lncRNA from 1 species
AGAGAAGGAGGGUGCAGAUACUAGUUUUUAAGCUCCGGAUUCUAUUGCUCCAAAAGAUCCGAUUGACAUUAUGGGUUCAGACUGCCCAGACGAGGAGCGAGAAAUGCUCGUAAAAAAGUAGAAGGAAGGCAUAUAAAACUCGCUCCAACCCUGCCUUCGCAGUUUCCUCCAUGUUCUGUUCUAUCAGGGGUUUUUCCCUUGCUAGAAUAGGGCGUAGCUAGUAACUCUUGUAAGAAUAUUUUAUAUUUUUU